rnacentral:rRNA from 1 species
ACCAACAGGGAUUGCCCUAGUAACGGCGAGUGAAGCGGCAACAGCUCAAAUUUGAAAUCUGGCCUAGCCCGAAUUGUAAUUUGUAGAGGAUGCUUUUAGUGCAGUGCUUUCCGAGUUCCCUGGAACGGGACGCCUUAGAGGGUGAGAGCCCCGUACGGUUAGUUACUAAUCUUCUGUAAAGCUCCUUCGACGAGUCGAGUAGUUUGGGAAUGCUGCUCAAAAUGGGAGGUAAAUUUCUUCUAAAGCUAAAUACCGGCCAGAGACCGAUAGCGCACAAGUAGAGUGAUCGAAAGAUGAAAAGCACUUUGAAAAGAGGGUUAAAUAGCACGUGAAAUUGUUGAAAGGGAAGCGCUUAUGACCAGACUUUUGCCUUGCGGAUCAUCCGGUGUUCUCACCGGUGCACUUCGCUUGGUUGAGGCCAGCAUCGAUUUUUGCGGGGGGAUAAAGUCUGCGGGAAUGUGGCUCUUCGGAGUGUUAUAGCCCGUGGUAAUACCCCCGUGGGGAUCGAGGUUCGCGCUCUGCAAGGAUGCUGGCAUAAUGGUCAUCAGCGACCCGUCUUGAAACACGGACCAAGGAGUCGAACAUUUAUGCGAGUGUUUGGGUGUUAAACCCUCACGCGUAAUGAAAGUGAACGGAGGUGAGAGCUUAGGCGCAUCAUCGACCGAUCCUGAUGUCUUCGGAUGGAUUUGAGUAAGAGCAUAACUGUUCGGACCCGAAAGAUGGUGAACUAUGCGUGGAUAGGGUGAAGCCAGAGGAAACUCUGGUGGAGGCUCGCAGCGGUUCUGACGUGCAAAUCGAUCGUCAAAUCUGCGCAUGGGGGCGAAAGACUAAUCGA